rnacentral:rRNA from 1 species
UGCAGUCGAGCGGUAACAGGAGAAGCUUGCUUCUCGCUGACGAGCGGCGGACGGGUGAGUAAUACUUAGGAAUCUGCCUAGUAGUGGGGGAUAGCUCGGGGAAACUCGAAUUAAUACCGCAUACGACCUACGGGAGAAAGGGGGCAACUUGUUGCUCUCGCUAUUAGAUGAGCCUAAGUCGGAUUAGCUAGAUGGUGGGGUAAAGGCCUACCAUGGCGACGAUCUGGAGCUGGUCUGAGAGGAUGAUCAGCCACACCGGGACUGAGACACGGCCCGGACUCCUACGGGAGGCAGCAGUGGGGAAUAUUGGACAAUGGGGGCAACCCUGAUCCAGCCAUGCCGCGUGUGUGAAGAAGGCCUUUUGGUUGUAAAGCACUUUAAGCAGUGAAGAAGACUCCCUGGUUAAUACCCAUGGACGAUGACAUUAGCUGCAGAAUAAGCACCGGCUAACUCUGUGCCAGCAGCCGCGGUAAUACAGAGGGUGCGAGCGUUAAUCGGAAUUACUGGGCGUAAAGCGAGCGUAGGUGGCUUGAUAAGUCAGAUGUGAAAGCCCCGGGCUUAACCUGGGAACGGCAUCUGAUACUGUUAGGCUAGAGUAGGUGAGAGGAAGGUAGAAUUCCAGGUGUAGCGGUGAAAUGCGUAAAGAUCUGGAGGAAUACCGAUGGCGAAGGCAGCCUUCUGGCAUCAUACUGACACUGAGGUUCGAAAGCGUGGGUAGCAAACAGGAUUAGAUACCCUGGUAGUCCACGCCGUACACGAUGUCUACUAGUCGUUGGGUCCCUUGAGGACUUAGUGACGCAGCUAACGCAAUAAGUAGACCGCCUGGGGAGUACGGCCGCAAGGUUAAAACUCAGAUGAAUUGACGGNGGCCCGCACAAGC